GUGUCAGCAGCCGCGGUAAUACAGAGACUGCGAGCGUUAUUCGGAUUCACUGGGCGUAAAGGGUGCGCAGGCGGCCGUGUGUGUCAGGUGUGAAAUCUCGAGGCUUAACCUCGAAAUUGCGCCUGAAACUACACGGCUAGAGUACUGGAGAGGGAAACGGAAUUCACGGUGUAGCAGUGAAAUGCGUAGAUAUCGUGAGGAACACCAGAGGCGAAGGCGGUUUCCUGGACAGUUACUGACGCUCAGGCACGAAAGCGUGGGGAGCAAAAGGGAUUAGAUACCCCUGUAGUCC
rnacentral:rRNA from 1 species